AUUGAACGCUGGCGGCAGGCCUAACACAUGCAAGUCGAACGGAGCGGCGAACGGGUGAGUAACGCGUGAGUAACUGCCCCCCUCUCUGGGAUAACAGUUGGAAACGGCUGUUAAUACCGGAUAGUGGGGGGUGACUCGCGUCUUAUCAGCUUGUUGGUGGGGUAUUGGCUUACCACGGCGACGACGGGUAGCCGGCCUGAGAGGGCGACCGGCCACAUUGGGCUGAGAUACGGCCCAAACUCGUACGGGGGGCAGUAGUGGGGAAGAUUGUACAAUGGGGGAAACCCUGAUGAAGCAACGCCGGGUGCGGGAUGACGGCCUUCGGGUGGUAAACCGCUUUCAGCCAUGACGCGGUAGUGGCAGAAGAAGCACCGGCUAACUACGUGCCAGCAGCCGCGGUAAUAC
rnacentral:rRNA from 1 species